AUUAUUUUGGCAGAUUAGUGCAAUAGAUUUAGAAUCUUUAUAAGUAAAGUUUUACAAAUAAUA
rnacentral:tRNA from 1 species